rnacentral:rRNA from 1 species
GAUGAACGCUAGCUACAGGCUUAACACAUGCAAGUCGAGGGGCAGCAUGGAAGAAGCUUGCUUCUUCUGAUGGCGACCGGCGCACGGGUGCGUAACGCGUAUCAAACCUGCCUCAUACUCGGGGAUAGCCUUGCGAAAGUAAGAUUAAUACCCGAUGUUGUUGCUUUCUCGCAUGGGAGGGUAACCAAAGAUUUAUCGGUAUGAGAUGGUGAUGCGUCCGAUUAGGUAGUAGGCGGGGUAACGGCCCACCUAGCCUUCGAUCGGUAGGGGUUCUGAGAGGAAGGUCCCCCACACUGGAACUGAGACACGGUCCAGACUCCUACGGGAGGCAGCAGUGAGGAAUAUUGGUCAAUGGGCGAGAGCCUGAACCAGCCAAGUAGCGUGCAGGAUGACGGCCCUCCGGGUUGUAAACUGCUUUUAGUUGGGAAUAAAAAAAGGGACUUGUCCCUUCUUGUAUGUACCUUCAGAAAAAGGACCGGCUAAUCCCGUGCCAGCAGCCGCGGUAAUACGGAAGGUCCAGGCGUUAUCCGGAUUUAUUGGGUUUAAAGGGAGCGUAGGCGGAUUGUUAAGUCAGCGGUUAAAGGGUGUGGCUCAACCAUGCAUUGCCGUUGAAACUGGCGAUCUUGAGUGCAGACAGGGAUGCCGGAAUUCGUGGUGUAGCGGUGAAAUGCUUAGAUAUCACGAAGAACUCCGAUCGCGAAGCACGUGUCCGGGCUGCAACUGACGCUGAGGCUCGAAAGUGUGGGUAUCAAACAAG